GCGGAGGAAAAGAAACCAACAGGGAUUGCCCUAGUAACGGCGAGUGAAGCGGCACAGCUCAAUUUGAAAUCUGGCUCUCUUUGGGGGUCGAGUUGAAUUUGCAGAGGAUGCUUGGCAUUGGCGGCGGUCUAAGUUCUUGGAACAGGACUCGCAGAGGUGAGAAUCCGUACGUGGGGCCUGCCUUGCCGUGUAAGCUCCUCCACGAGCGAGUUGUUGGGAAUGAGCUCUAAUGGGAGGAAAUUCUUCUAAGUAAAUACGGCCAGAGACCGAUAGCGCACAAGUAGAGUGAUCGAAAGAUGAAAAGUACUUUGGAAAGAGAGUCAAAAAGCACGUGAAAUUGUUGAAAGGGAAGCGCUUGCAGCCAGACUUGCCCGCAGUUGCUCACCUAGGCUUUGGCCUGGGGCACUCUUCUGCGGGCAGGCCAGCAUCAGUUUGGGCGGUCGGACAAAGGCCUCUGUCAAGUAUCUCCCUUCGGGGUGACCUUAUAGGGGAGGCGUAAUGCGACCAGCCCGGACUGAGGUCCGCGCAUCUGCUAGGAUGCUGGCGUAAUGGCUGUAAGCGGCCCGUCUUGAAACACGGACCAAGGAGUCUAACAUCUAUGCGAGUGUUUGGGUGUCAAGCCCGGGCGCGCAAUGAAAGUGAACGGAGGUGGGAACCCUUUGGGUGCACCAUCGACCGAUCCUGAUGUCUUCGGAUGGAUUUGAGUAAGAGCAUAGCUGUUGGGACCCGAAAGAUGGUGAACUAUGCUUGAAUAGGGUGAAGCCAGAGGAAACUCUGGUGGAGGCUCGCAGCGGUUCUGACGUGCAAAUCGAUCGUCAAAUUUG
rnacentral:sRNA from 1 species